ensembl:lncRNA MHENCR melanoma highly expressed competing endogenous lncRNA for miR-425 and miR-489
GGCCGUGAAAUAAGGCCCGACGGGCCCCGGGGCGCGUGCGCGGACCGACACUGUCAGCUCCUAACGCCGCAGGUUCCUCCUGGUCCCCGAGGCCCCCGGUCGGGCGUUGCCUGCCCCGCGCGGGCGGCCGGGCCGAGGGACGAUGGUCAGUGGACGGACGGCGCCAGGGAGCAGUGCCCACGCGCGGCAGGGCGGUACCUUCAGGCCUCCAGAGGCUGGGGCUGGCUCUGUUGGCCUCUGUGCUGGGUUUCUUCCUCUGCACCGCAGGACUGGCUCUCCUGACCUCUCCAGGUGUCAUCGAACACCCUUGUGCUUGCUGUCACCCGCUGCCUGUCUGCAGGAUCCCGGAUUCCGUAUCAGGGGACCGAAAUUAGUCGGAAAAUAGGAAGCAGGUGCUCGCUUGGAUGGAACCCUGACCCUGUGCUCACACUUGUAGGAGGAGGGCUCUGCAGGCCGCCUCCCGGAACGGGAGGUUCCCAAGCCACUGCACUUCGGAGGGGCUGUAAUUAGAGUUGCACAUUCAUUCAGUUCCCAGUAAAGUAGAACGUGCUCCAGCCAGUGAGGAAAAGGUGUUUUUAAAAAUUAGAUUGGCCGAGUGCGGUGGCUCAUGCCUUUUACCUCAACACUUUGGGAGACAAAGGUGGGAGGAUCACCUGUGGCCAGGAGUUCAAGACCAGCCUGGGCAACAGAGCCUGUCUCUGGGGAAGAAUAAAAAAAAAAAUUGAGCCUUUGUCAGUGCUACUAUUUUAUUAUCUGGUAAAUAUGAGAGGGUUCACGCGGUCUAUGUGUGUCAUUUAUCUGAGUUUGCCUAUCGUCACGUUUUGGAAAUAAAUGUCAAUAAAGUCGA